AUUGAUCCAACCCUGUUUGGAUUCUUCAUUAAUAGAUUGAACAAGACUAGUGUUCAUGGUAGGGGCUAGUUUGUGGUGGUGGGUACAUGGGAUGAAUGAUUUUGUAAAAAGUUUUGGGUUCCAUUUAUAAAUGAAAUAUAAAGAGGAAAAUAUAAAGAUAAUAAUUUUAAUGAAAUCAAACAAGAAAAGAAAGAAACAUAACUGAGAUCAAGAAAUAAGAGAAGAAAUGGGACUAUUGGAAUUUUGGUUGUUGAAUGUUAUUACAACUCUUACCCAUAUUUAUAAAUAUUGUGUGGCAGUUGCUUCCAAUGCAUGUUCAGUCUAAUGAAGAAAUUGCAGUUUCAAUUGGGAGCAACUGAAACGUUUCGGAGUAGUCGGGGCUUCGCGAAGCAAUAAACAAUUACAUAUCGGUUUCAGAGGUUCGUGAUCGACAAGUAGAGGAAAGCAAGAAAAAUUAGUUACUACCUUUCUGCCUGUUUUUUCAUUUGAGAACAAAGUCCCACAUCGCUUAUUUGAAUAAAACUUGUAUAGUUUAUAUAACAAAAACAUGUAUCAGGGUUUGUCCCUUCGGGGACAUCUGAUAAAAUUGGAACGAUACAGAGAAGAUUGGCAUGGCCCCUGCGCAAGGAUGACACGCACAAAUCGAGAAAUGGUCCAAAUUUUUUUCUUCCUCUUCUUUUCCUUUCGCAAUUUAUUUACUUCACCUUCUUAGGGUUGGGUCACUAUGAACGGUUAUUGUUUGAUUAUUCGUGGUCCAGUUCAUAAACUUGUUCGUUUUGUUGUUGUUUGUGGAUCUGAAUUAGAAGCAUAGUUGUUGUGACCUAUCUCAGAACUAUUUUUACUGCUUUAUAUGUAAUAAUUACUGGGUUUUAAGAACAGUGAUUACUUCAUCGUUGCUUAGUUUUGGCAUCUCUGCAGAAUGGUAGAACUGCUAUGUUACUGCAUAUGUAAUCCUUAUAAAAGUUUAUUAAUGUUUACUUCGGUUUGAAUGAGUGUCAAACUGCUUGGAAUAUUUGUAAUAUGCUUUUGGCAUUUUUUGUGAGGAUUAGGUGUGGCCUCAUUUUUUUUAAUUUUCUAAGAAUACAGUUAGCCGACCACAUCUAGUGGGAUAAAAGUUCGGUUAUUGUUGUUGUUAUCAAGAUUUUACGGCUAGGAGAAGGAGAAGAAUUAAGGCUCAUUGAAACUGGUUAUUUGUGGGGCAUUAGGCUCUUGUAGGCUAUUAAACCUCUGGCCACUUUGUGUGGUUUGUCAUGAGCCAUUGAUUUUGAUUUGGGAUGCCAUCACUUUCCAAUUUCCACCCAAUUUUGACUUUAUGAAGUUACAAUGAUGAAUAGUAUUAGUUAUACUUCAACUGAUCCUUUUUUCUACAUGCUUGUUUAUCUGGUCAUUGGUUCUGGUAUAAUCAUUAAUACUAUAACAGUAAGUAUUGUGAAUGCUAAUGAAAGCACAGCUUUUGCAACCAUGGCUAUAUCAAAAUGUUGCGAAAUGUGUCCCUAUUUGGUGUUACUCUGUAAUUGCUCCUGUUGUGUGACAAACGCUUGUGCAACAGAAACUCUAAGUGGAAACAUUUUAGCUAAGUUUCUAUUAGAAAUAUUCUAAAGUACAUCAUAUCUGCUCACAUUUGUCCAUAAUAGAAUCAGAAAAAAAGGGCUAGCUAAUCUGCCAGAGCCAUCAUUCAGGCAUGGGUUUGAGCUCCAAGACUGCCUUCGAUGUCCUUUGUUCCAUAAACAACAUCUUCAAUAUCUUAAAAGCCUCUUUAAUUCUCAAACAUCUCUCCAUGUUGCAGACCUCUAAACAAGACUUGUCCUUCACAUUCUUCGAUCAUCAUAUUUUAUCGAGUCAUAUUUAAGUGCUUUUGCUUCUAUGCCUUAUUACUCUGAGAAAACUAAUGGCCUGCUUGGGCUUAUUAUCUAGAUUGUUUGAUAGAGAAAUGUCUGUUACUUGAUACAUUUACAGAGUCUAGACUCUAGAGGCCAGAGCUUUUGUUGUAAUUUACUAGUUAUAAAUCUACACAAGCAACUUGGUCUUCUCAGAAUAGUCAAGAUUCUGAACAUAGCAACCUGGUAGUACCAAUAGUGACCAAGAACCCUGGUCGUCAAUGUAGCUACUCAUGGCAUCAGUUCAACCAGCAUUAUCAACUGAGUGAGGUACAACUGUACAAGUAUUUGGAGUUUUAUCUGGGUUUGCACUGAACUAGGUGAUAUUUGUAGUUGAGUAGCUUUCUUGCCCAAGCAUGGACCAGAUUGUUAUUAUUACUUUUCAAUCAACUUUGUGCUUUAAUUGUCCUAUGAAAAAUCAGAAGCUAAUAGAUCUGUGGCACCUGCAGAACUGAAACCUACUGCUCCAUCUAUAUAUGAAUAUGUGAUUAUGAGGUGCAGAGAAAGUCUUUACUUGUAGUUAAUUCGGAUUGCUUUGUUUGUAUCCAUUGUAGAAGUGCAGCACUCAUUGCUACUUUAUGUAAUUCUAUAGCCAAGUUUACUUGUCGUCCAAUGUUAACUUGAGUUUGGCUACAUUGAAUGGGUGUGAAACUGAGCUUGAAAUACAUGUUUCAAGAUCAAAGAAGAUGGUCAGAUUUUGUGCAUGGUGUAUUUUAGCAUUUGGAAACAAAGCAUAGCCAAUGAUUUCUUAGUAUUUUUGUUCGGGUUGGUGAUGAGGUUUUGGAUUGCUGUUGGUUUCUGCCCUUAAACUUUAGACCCAAAAAAGUUGCUUUUUUUAAUCAUCAAAGUAAUAAGCAAACAACUUUAGAAUAUCAAUUAUGAGUAAACAAAGCAAGUACACCGCCUGUGGGGAUGGAGGAUUGAUAAGUAUAAAAAAUUCAUUUAUUUUUUUGGAUAUUAUUUGUUAGUACUUUCCUAUUUCAAUUGAUUAUAUUUGUAGUUAAUUGACUGAAUUUGAAUAUAAUUUGUUUGCGCAUGUAAUUAUCAACUUUUCAUAGUUAAUAUUUUACUUUUAGGUAAUUGAAUGAAGAAGAUUUUUGAAAUAUAAUGUUCCUAGCAUAUGGAACUUUAAUAUGAAUGAUGAGAUUGGCAAAAUAUACAUAAUAGGUCUCAUUGACCGAGUUGUGGGUCCUUCAGUGGGACUAAGAAAGAAUGUUGGGGCUGUUGGGUGUUCAUUUUCGCUUAGCAAAAAUGCCUCAAUUUCUACACACAUGAUUUUUGAAUCCUAAUGGCGUGCAUAUUCAUGGAAUAUAUCCAUACUUUAGUUUUUGAGAAAAUGUGGAACCUAGUACUGGUAGAUGAUCUAACACAUCAUGAGAUUAUAUAUCGGUAGUUUUUGGCGUACUGAAUCUGGCAAAGUGCCUAGUAAUAGUUGGAUACAUGGGAAAAAGAUAAGUUUCGGUUCAUGAUUGUCCUUUUGUUAGAUAAGUUCCUCUCCCUAGAGACAAAACACAAUUUCUUCUAUUAUGGUUUCAGUGUUAUUCUUUUUGAUAUCAUAGGCACUAUAGUCGGUGGAUUACAACUCAGCAAACAGGGAAUAAGCAUGCUAAUGAUACUGUGUUUGUGUAGGUAAAAUACAAGGCAACUAAAAACAAUAAACACCUCUCCCAGAUCAAGAGAUGAUCCAAAUAAGCG
rnacentral:lncRNA from 1 species